AAGAGGGCUAUCACAAAUUUUCGAGUUUUAUACGAGUUUUGAUGCGUCAUUAUGCUUUGGAUAUAGUCACAAAAAAAAAACAAAAAUAAGAUUAAGGGUCGGUUCAUAUCUGACGGAAAAUGCGUCGAGCGUAUCGUAAAUGUAUGAUCGACGCACUAACGCAUCAUCGGUUAUGUGUGAAUGAUUGAAUGUUUUACCGUAUAUUUGUCAGUUCUGGCGUUACGCGACCGAUAAUACGCGACGCAUAUUCCGUUAGAUAUGAACCGACCCUAAGAAAGUUUGAUCAUUUAUCUUGGGGCUGUUUUCAAUAAAUAUUUUAAUUUGUCCACGUACAUCAGUAAAAUCUUUGUCUCUGCAAAGGAUGUUUCAUAAAAUGUUGCUUUUGGGAAUCUUUUGAUGCUUCAGUACUACGAGGAUAUAGCAAUUUAACCAUUUAUAAAAAUGUUCAAGAUACAACUAUAUCUUGUACUUGUGCUUGCUUACACCAAUUUAUUACAAUUCAUACAGUAAUACACCAAAAAUAAUUCUAUAAAACUGAGAGUUACUGACAAUUUUCCGUACAAAACUAUAUUUUUUAUCUAUGAAAGUAUAAUCCAAAUUCAAAUAAAACAUAUUUAAUAAUUAAGGUGGUAUUGUUAUAAAGCUUGAAAAAAAAAAUUGGUCUAUUUAAAAGUAAAACAAUAUUUUAAAAUAAUUUUUGUUUGCAAUGCAAAAAUCAAUAUAAAUCUUGUGACGCGCGGUGUUCAACUUUAGUCAGCGCCAAGCGCUUAUCGAGGGAGGACGUAUCGCUCGCUGUUGCGCCGCGCAAACUCGCCGGAGCUCGAAAAAUAUAGCGCAACCUGCGCAACGAACUCGUUUUGAUACUAGAUAAUGAAAGCAUAUUUAAUUCAGAUUAUCAGACUCAAUCGGAUACCAGUACAAAUAAUAUGGAAAAUGAAGAUACAAUACAUGGAAGACGAAUUAUAGAUUUCAGUUUUUUUAUAAAUCAAUUACUUAUACCUAAUUGAUAAACAUGGUGAAAAGUUUGGUUGUCGAUUAAAUAAUUUAAAAAUUGUAAACGAUUAUUUGUUUAUUGUAACUCAAUCGAGCUAUUCUAGGUUAUAAAAUUCAUCGGUACAAAUAAUAUUUCAUGAACUAUAAAACCAAUAAACUAUUUCGAAAAUAAAAGUGGAAAAGUCUCAAGUUUGUUUGUGCCGCGUGGCGGUCCGCAGGUGUGCGUUGCGUAUUUCACUAGACGCACACGCGCGCAAGUGCUGCCGGCUAUCG
rnacentral:lncRNA from 1 species